rnacentral:rRNA from 1 species
UACGUAGGGGACGAGCGUUGUCCGGAUUCAUUGGGCGUAAAGAGCGUGUAGGCGGCCAGGUAGGUCAGCUGUGAAAACUCGAGGCUCAACCUCGAGACGUCGGUUGAAACCACCUGGCUAGAGUCCGGAAGAGGAGAGUGGAAUUCCUGGUGUAGCGGUGAAAUGCGCAGAUAUCAGGAAGAACACCCGUGGCGAAGGCGGCUCCCUGGGACGGUACUGACGCUGAGACGCGAAAGCGUGGGGAGCGAACAGG